AUUUAAAUAGCUUAUAAAGAGUAUAAUAUUGAAGAUAUUAAGGAGAUUGAUAAAUCUUUAGAUA
rnacentral:tRNA from 1 species